GGGACACGUGGUAUCCUGUCUGAAUAUGGGGGGACCAUCCUCCAAGGCUAAAUACUCCUGACUGACCGAUAGUGAACCAGUACCGUGAGGGAAAGGCGAAAAGAACCCCGGCGAGGGGAGUGAAAAAGAACCUGAAACCGUGUACGUACAAGCAGUGGGAGCACGCUUAGGCGUGUGACUGCGUACCUUUUGUAUAAUGGGUCAGCGACUUAUAUUCUGUAGCAAGGUUAACCGAAUAGGGGAGCCGAAGGGAAACCGAGUCUUAACUGGGCGUUAAGUUGCAGGGUAUAGACCCGAAACCCGGUGAUCUAGCCAUGGGCAGGUUGAAGGUUGGGUAACACUAACUGGAGGACCGAACCGACUAAUGUUGAAAAAUUAGCGGAUGACUUGUGGCUGGGGGUGAAAGGCCAAUCAAACCGGGAGAUAGCUGGUUCUCCCCGAAAGCUAUUUAGGUAGCGCCUCGUGAAUUCAUCUCCGGGGGUAGAGCACUGUUUCGGCAAGGGGGUCAUCCCGACUUACCAACCCGAUGCAAACUGCGAAUACCGGAGAAUGUUAUCACGGGAGACACACGGCGGGUGCUAACGUCCGUCGUGAAGAGGGAAACAACCCAGACCGCCAGCUAAGGUCCCAAAGUCAUGGUUAAGUGGGAAACGAUGUGGGAAGGCCCAGACAGCCAGGAUGUUGGCUUAGAAGCAGCCAUCAUUUAAAGAAAGCGUAAUAGCUCACUGGUCGAGUCGGCCUGCGCGGAAGAUGUAACGGGGCUAAACCAUGCACCGAAGCUGCGGCAGCGACGCUGAUGCGUUGUUGGGUAGGGGAGCGUUCUGUAAGCCUGCGAAGGUGUGCUGUGAGGCAUGCUGGAGGUAUCAGAAGUGCGAAUGCUGACAUAAGUAACGAUAAAGCGGGUGAAAAGCCCGCUCGCCGGAAGACCAAGGGUUCCUGUCCAACGUUAAUCGGGGCAGGGUGAGUCGACCCCUAAGGCGAGGCCGAAAGGCGUAGUCGAUGGGAAACAGGUUAAUAUUCCUGUACUUGGUGUUACUGCGAAGGGGGGACGGAGAAGGCUAUGUUGGCCGGGCGACGGUUGUCCCGGUUUAAGCGUGUAGGCUGGUUUUCCAGGCAAAUCCGGAAAAUCAAGGCUGAGGCGUGAUGACGAGGCACUACGGUGCUGAAGCAACAAAUGCCCUGCUUCCAGGAAAAGCCUCUAAGCAUCAGGUAACAUCAAAUCGUACCCCAAACCGACACAGGUGGUCAGGUAGAGAAUACCAAGGCGCUUGAGAGAACUCGGGUGAAGGAACUAGGCAAAAUGGUGCCGUAACUUCGGGAGAAGGCACGCUGAUAUGUAGGUGAAGCGACUUGCUCGUGGAGCUGAAAUCAGUCGAAGAUACCAGCUGGCUGCAACUGUUUAUUAAAAACACAGCACUGUGCAAACACGAAAGUGGACGUAUACGGUGUGACGCCUGCCCGGUGCCGGAAGGUUAAUUGAUGGGGUUAGCGCAAGCGAAGCUCUUGAUCGAAGCCCCGGUAAACGGCGGCCGUAACUAUAACGGUCCUAAGGUAGCGAAAUUCCUUGUCGGGUAAGUUCCGACCUGCACGAAUGGCGUAAUGAUGGCCAGGCUGUCUCCACCCGAGACUCAGUGAAAUUGAACUCGCUGUGAAGAUGCAGUGUACCCGCGGCAAGACGGAAAGACCCCGUGAACCUUUACUAUAGCUUGACACUGAACAUUGAGCCUUGAUGUGUAGGAUAGGUGGGAGGCUUUGAAGUGUGGACGCCAGUCUGCAUGGAGCCGACCUUGAAAUACCACCCUUUAAUGUUUGAUGUUCUAACGUGGACCCGUAAUCCGGGUUGCGGACAGUGUCUGGUGGGUAGUUUGACUGGGGCGGUCUCCUCCUAAAGAGUAACGGAGGAGCACGAAGGUUGGCUAAUCCUGGUCGGACAUCAGGAGGUUAGUGCAAUGGCAUAAGCCAGCUUGACUGCGAGCGUGACGGCGCGAGCAGGUGCGAAAGCAGGUCAUAGUGAUCCGGUGGUUCUGAAUGGAAGGGCCAUCGCUCAACGGAUAAAAGGUACUCCGGGGAUAACAGGCUGAUACCGCCCAAGAGUUCAUAUCGACGGCGGUGUUUGGCACCUCGAUGUCGGCUCAUCACAUCCUGGGGCUGAAGUAGGUCCCAAGGGUAUGGCUGUUCGCCAUUUAAAGUGGUACGCGAGCUGGGUUUAGAACGUCGUGAGACAGUUCGGUCCCUA
rnacentral:rRNA from 1 species